rnacentral:piRNA from 1 species
GCAGAUAUGACCAUUGGUCUACUGGUA